rnacentral:rRNA from 1 species
GAUGAACGCUGGCGGCGUGCCUAAUACAUGCAAGUCGAGCGACCGCACGAUAAGCUUUUUUCUCUGCUGUUAGCGACUGACGGGUGAGUAACACGUGGAUCACCUUCCUCUAAGACUUGGAUAACUUCGUGGAACCGCUUCUCCUACUGGCUCAUAUUUUCUACCGCAUGGUUCAGAAGUUAUACACGCUCUUCCUGUCACUUUUAGCUGGUUCCGCGCUGGAUUAGCUAGUUGGUAAGGUAACGGCUUACCAAGGCAACGAUGCUUAGCUGACCUGAGAGGAUGAUCAGCCACACUGGAACUGAGACACGGUCCAGACUCCUACGGGAGGCAGCAGUAGGGAAUCUUCCACAAUGGGCGAAAGCCUGACGGAGCAACGCCGCGUGGGUGAAGAAGGUCUUCGGGUCGUAAAACCCUGUUAUUAGGGAAGAAAAGAAGUAGAAGAAAAUGUGGACAUCUUGACGGUACCUAAAGAGAAAGCCACGGCUAACUACGUG